rnacentral:rRNA from 1 species
GGUUACUGCUAUCGGUGUUCGCCUAAGCCAUGCGAGUCAUAUGUUCUUCGGAACAUGGCGUACUGCUCAGUAACACGUGGAUAACCUGCCCUUGGGUCCGGCAUAACCCCGGGAAACUGGGGAUAAUUCCGGAUAACGCACAUAUGCUGGAAUGCUUUAUGCGUCAAAUGGAUUCGUCCGCCCAAGGAUGGGUCUGCGGCCUAUCAGGUAGUAGUGGGUGUAAUGUACCUACUAGCCUACGACGGGUACGGGUUGUGAGAGCAAGAGCCCGGAGAUGGAUUCUGAGACAUGAAUCCAGGCCCUACGGGGCGCAGCAGGCGCGAAAACUUUACAAUGCGGGAAACCGUGAUAAGGGGACACCGAGUGCCAGCAUCAUAUGCUGGCUGUCCGGGUGUGUAAAAUACACCUGUUAGCUAGGGCCGGGCAAGACCGGUGCCAGCCGCCGCGGUAACACCGGCGGCCCGAGUGGUGAUCGUGAUUAUUGGGUCUAAAGGGUCCGUAGCCGGUUUGGUCAGUCCUCCGGGAAAUCUGACGGCUUAACCGUUAGGCUUUCGGGGGAUACUGCCAGACUUGGAACCGGGAGAGGUAAGAGGUACUACAGGGGUAGGAGUG